AGUGGAGCUUGCUCCAUGAUUCAGCGGCGGACGGGUGAGUAAUGCCUAGGAAUCUGCCUGGUAGUGGGGGAUAACGUUUCGAAAGGAACGCUAAUACCGCAUACGUCCUACGGGAGAAAGUGGGGGAUCUUCGGACCUCACGCUAUCAGAUGAGCCUAGGUCGGAUUAGCUAGUUGGUGGGGUAAUGGCCCACCAAGGCGACGAUCCGUAACUGGUCUGAGAGGAUGAUCAGUCACACUGGAACUGAGACACGGUCCAGACUCCUACGGGAGGCAGCAGUGGGGAAUAUUGGACAAUGGGCGAAAGCCUGAUCCAGCCAUGCCGCGUGUGUGAAGAAGGUCUUCGGAUUGUAAAGCACUUUAAGUUGGGAGGAAGGGCAGUAAGUUAAUACCUUGCUGUUUUGACGUUACCAACAGAAUAAGCACCGGCUAACUUCGUGCCAGCAGCCGCGGUAAUACGAAGGGUGCAAGCGUUAAUCGGAAUUACUG
rnacentral:rRNA from 1 species